rnacentral:lncRNA from 1 species
GGUCUUGGCAGUUUGGCACAGUUGGAAGGUUUGAGACAAGUUCCUGUUAUUUUGCAAGGUUUCAGAUCAUGUACCUAAUAAGAGCAAGGCAAUUCCAUGAUGCCAUCUGCCGAAUUUGUUGCUGAGAAGCAGUUGCUGUUAGUCGAGCAUUGUCUGACAAAGGAACCCGCUUCUCAGCACAAGUGAAUCAAUAAGCUGAAGCCCAUGGAAUCUGUUACCAUGUACCUCAUCUCUCAGAAGUCACUGCCUCUAGAACGGUAGAAAGUGCUCUGAAACUUCAUUAUGGUACCUCCUGGGAUUCACUGCUUUGAGAAGGUGGAGUACUGUCAUAGAGGGUGUGGUAUGUGUUCUGAACCAAUGACUACUGUGAUUUAUCUCCCUCCUACCCAGACUGCUUGGAUUCAGAUACUGAACAGUAAAAACAAACAUGGUUCCUCUCACUGUAACAGCAAAAGUCCUUAUAACUUGACUUCUUUUCUUGGGUUUCUGGGUUCUGCUAGUUCAGAGGCCUUACUAACUUAAGGAGGAAUGCUUCCAAGAAACAUAAUUUUAUCAUUGAAGUGGGAGUAGAGAUAGACCCUGGUCAUUUGCGUCUAACCCUUUGAACAGACAAGUAAAGGGAGCAUUACAAUGUUGGCUGGGUCGACCAUGUCAAAGAUGAGAUCAUCUUAACGCAAUAGAGGGAGUGAGAAUAGAAAAUCCAGGGAACUCCCAUGUAAACCUCCUGAUAUUCAGGAAUAGAUUAGAUGAUAGCAGCCUUACACUGGCAGUGCUCCAAUGGAUAUAUUUACAUCAGUGACAAGUUUGGAUCAUUCCAUCAUCUAAAUAAUCCAAUCAGCUAGUUUGAUUAAGCGAAAUGAAACAAAUGACAGUGGCCUCAUAAUUGUUAUAAUAAAAGGUCUUUAAUCUGCAUUUAUCUUUCUUGUGACUAGUGUUUACCUCUGCUUUAUGAAAGGUAGAAUGCAUAUUCUUGUCCACAGGUCACAGGACAGGAUUAGGAUAGACCUAAAAACAGAAUGAGCAUCACCUGAUACUAGAUUAGAAUGGAAGACAGCAAAUUUGUGGUGUGAUGGGGGAGCAGGAGAUUGGUGUGUAUCUGAGUAGCAUCACUUCUUGAAGUAUAGGAAGAAUAGAUAUUAGGUAAAAAGAAGAGUGGACUGUAGUGAACAUCUAGUUUUCUUCUUGUUGUGGACUUAAAUAUUCCCUCUGGGUAUCUCCUUUCCAUGCAAGCAUAUAAGUCUUGGUAGGAGUCAGUGUCUUCCUACCAUAGAAACAAAUUAUUUUAAAAAUUGCUUUGGCUGGUCUUAAAGCUCAUGCUUAGGGGAGGGCAGUAGUAGGAUCUUCAAGCUGUUUUGGAUCGUGACUUGUGGGUGUUUCUGGCUGAGCCUUGCUCUCUAGUUCUGAGUGAUUCCCUGGGAUAUAUACUCCUUAAACACCUUUUCUGUUCAAAUCACAUGAAGUCUAUUUCGGACACAGCCACUGGGUGAAAACAUUUAAGAUACCCUUGGAUACAUGUUAUCUGGCCUUGAUUAAGCUGCUGUCUCAUUCUCCAGAUGCACUGGAGGCCCAGUCUGCCCCCUUAAGUUUAUACCCUCAUCUUAAAAGCUGGCUACUCUUAGUUUGUUAGCCUUCCUACUUACAUAUGGGCAGCAUCUGCAGGAUCAUGGCUAGACCUUCUCAUAAGCCCUUCCUACAUGAGUAGAUGGUCUUGGCUUUCUUAUUCCAAAGACAUCUUCUUUUAGAUUCCCCUGUCUUGCUGAUCUUACACUUGGCAGUGCUCAGGAAUCCCCUUCCCCCUUCCACCUGGUUCAGCACUCUGCCUUUUACUUUUUAUCUGAAGAAAGCCCACCAGGAGCUGUAUGAAUUUGGUCCCUCUCUUGCCCCUGACCAUUCUGGGCCACCGGGUACCUCUGAUCCAGAGGCCUAUUCUUGUGUGUCUUUCCUACAUGGCUUAAGUCCUGAGUGCAAGAUGUUGAGUUCUCCCAGAGAGAACAGAGUGGUCCAGUCUGGUCCUAUGUCCUUUCCUGAAGCCUUCUAGGACUCCUAGGGGCUAUGGCCAGCUUGCAUAAUAAGAAUCCAGUAUCCUUUUCCUCACCCAUGAGGAACAUCCAAGAAAAUGCUCUGCUUGCCCUUAAUCCAGCAGUGCUUUUCUAAAUCUCCCAAACUCACUAAGCACCUACUGAGGUCUGUAGGAUAGGGACAGAUUGACAUUACUUCUGUCUUUGACCUCGGUACCAGGUGGGCUAAAGGGGCCUGAUGGAGCCUAACAGCCAUGGUGUGAACCUGAGUGUCAGACUUGGUGUACUACAAGAUAGGGUGUUGAGUGAGAACCCUCUUUGUAGGCUUGACCCAGAAGUAGAGAGUCAUACAUCAACUGUACACCACUGCCUCUCAUGUCUACCCUAGAUUACCACAGGAGCUUCCCAAUUAGUCUCUGGGCUUCCAUUUUUGUUUCCCUCUCAUCCAUCCUCAAUAUUUCAAGUGUAAUUUUUCUAGGCAUACAUCAACAUGUUUUUCUCUGACAGCCCUGGCUCCUAAUAAUUCGGAUGCUGUUUGGCAGAGCCCUGGUUACCUCCAAUAAUUUGCUUCUGGAAACAGCUGUCUCACACCUUUAUGGCUUUUUGGACUAUUCCCUGUGCCUGGAAUUCUGAGGCACCUUCCUUCUAAGGAGAAAAUGGGGCAGAAGUGCUUAGCAUGUGCUAUGGGCGUCAAGUCCAAAAGACCCUCUCUUCCUUCAGACUGAGGAAGAAGACAGGCCGACUGGCAGAUACUCUCUUCCCUCUGCCCCCAACUUCUUGUCCCAAGAGAGCCUUUCACCAGGCCACCAAUAAGCUUCCAAGUGUCUGCCCCAUGCCUAGUUCUGUGAUGCUCCUGAGGGUGAAAAGGAAGGAAAGGUGGGGCUUGUCAAGAGGUGACUGGCUGCUGACACUUAUUUGGUACUUAGGGCACUCUUAAACACUUCCCAUGCAUUAACUCACCUGGUCCUCACAAC